GAUGAACGCUGGCGGCGUGCUUAACACAUGCAAGUCGAACGGACUUGGAUGUCGGAAGUUUUCGGAUGGAAGAUAUCCAAGUUAGUGGCGGACGGGUGAGUAACGCGUGGGUAACCUGCCCUGUACCGGGGGAUAACACUUAGAAAUAGGUGCUAAUACCGCAUAAGUGCACAGAGUCGCAUGACUUAGUGUAAAAAACUCCGGUGGUACAGGAUGGACCCGCGUCUGAUUAGCUUGUUGGUGAGGUAACGGCCCACCAAGGCGACGAUCAGUAGCCGGUCUGAGAGGAUGAACGGCCACACUGGAACUGAGACACGGUCCAGACUCCUACGGGAGGCAGCAGUGGGGAAUCUUCCGCAAUGGGCGAAAGCCUGACGGAGCAACGCCGCGUGAGGAAGAAGGCUUUCGGGUUGUAAACUCUUUGUCAGGGACGAAUAAAUGACGGUACUUGACGAAUAAGCCACGGCUAACUACGUG
rnacentral:rRNA from 1 species